AGCCGACCCCGCCCCUCCCCGACCUACCAUAGACGCCGUCCUCCAUGGCGGCUAGGAAGGCCCGCGGGGAAUCCGGGGCGGUCCCGCCAGUCGGGCCUGGAUCCGCGUUGGCCCGCGGGCUCGGAUGGGGAAACUGACAUGAAGAGGAGUCCAAAGUGACACAGUCAGGCCAGAAAUGUUGCUUCUGAAGUCCUGAGUCCACCUCCUAGCACUGCCAAGCAGUCCACCUGGAGGUGAUGAGAACUUCCAGGCUUUGGUAAUGGACAACUCUGUAUCCCUGGAGCCUUCAUUCCUUUUGGCAUUACAGAACCACAAGAAGUCAUCUAGAAUCAUUGAGAUUCUCAACUCCAUUGGGCAAACUGGAACCAGCAAAAUCUCAGAUAUCUAGAAUUGCCACUGCUUCCUUGACUCUGUGAUCAGUCUACAGCCACAGAAUCCUGAUUCCCUUUGGACAUUCUAGAAUGGCACUUUAAAAAAAAACAACCCACCCA
rnacentral:lncRNA from 1 species